UUAAGUUCAGCGGGUAUCCCCGCCUGAUCCGAGGCCAAACUUUGGAAAAAGUCUGCGGUUUGCACCACACUUCAGACGGCACGUCCACCUCCGACCACGGAGCGAUUGAAAUUGCUUUCUUGCUACGCUCGGGGAAGGCGGACGGCGCCCACGCGUUUCGGUCCGGCCGGCUUCGGCCUGGUCCAACAUCAAGCAGAGCU
rnacentral:misc_RNA from 1 species